rnacentral:rRNA from 1 species
AUUGAACGCUGGCGGCAGGCCUAACACAUGCAAGUCGAACGAGUGGCACACGGGUGAGUAAUGUCUGUGCAACUGCCCGAAGGAGGGGGAUACCUACUGGAAACGUUAGCUAAUACCGCAUACCAUCGCAUUUGCCCAGAUGGGAUGAGCUAGUAGGUGGGGUAACGGCUCACAUAGGCGACGAUCCCUAGCUGGUCUGAGAGGAUGACCAGCCACACGGGAACGGAGACACGGUCCAGACUCCUACGGGAGGCAGCAGUGGGGAAUAUUGCACAAUGGGCGCAAGCCUGAUGCAGCCAUGCCGCGUGGAUGAAGAAGGCCUUCGGGUGGUAAAGUACUUUCAGAGAGGAGGCGGUACUCGCAGAGGAAGCACCGGCUAACUCCGUGCCAGCAGCCGCGGUAAUAC